rnacentral:rRNA from 1 species
UACGCAGGUGGCGAGCGUUAUCCGGAAUUAUUGGGCGUAAAGAGCGCGCAGGUGGUUGAUUAAGUCUGAUGUGAAAGCCCACGGCUUAACCGUGGAGGGUCAUUGGAAACUGGUCGACUUGAGUGCAGAAGAGGGAAGUGGAAUUCCAUGUGUAGCGGUGAAAUGCGUAGAGAUAUGGAGGAACACCAGUGGCGAAGGCGGCUUCCUGGUCUGUAACUGACACUGAGGCGCGAAAGCGUGGGGAGCAAACAGGAUUAGA